rnacentral:rRNA from 1 species
UUUAUGGAGAGUUUGAUCCUGGCUCAGGAUGAACGCUGGCAGCGUGCCUAAUACAUGCAAGUCGAGCGAACGGACGAGAAGCUUGCUUCUCUGAUGUUAGCGGCGGACGGGUGAGUAACACGUGGAUAACCUACCUAUAAGACUGGGAUAACUUCGGGAAACCGGAGCUAAUACCGGAU